UAUAUGCAUGAAUGCUUGAUGAUGAGUGCAUGGUGGUAUAUGCACAUAUGGCAUGGUGAUAUAUGCAUGAAUGUUUGAUGAUAAGUGCAUGGUGAUAUAUGCAUGGCUACAAGGUAAGGUAUGCUUGAAUGCACGAAUGUUAUGUGCUUUGUUCAUGAUACCUUGAUUGUUCUAUUUGACGCAUUGAGUAGUUUGGUGGAUCUUUACUGCUGAGUGGUUGUACUCACCCCUUUGGGGAUUAACAUUUCAGAUUAGAAAAAUGC
rnacentral:lncRNA from 1 species